GGGAAAGGCUCGGCAGGCGGCUGUGGGGCGGGGCCUGGCGGGGCUGGGGCGGGGCCUGGGCGGGGCCUCAUUGCGGCCGCGGGCCGUGGGGCUGAUUCCGAGCUUUCGCGCAAAUUGGAUCUCCACUUUAAAGUUUAACAACUUUUCCUGUAUUUUUCCCCUCCCUAAACCAGGUAAAACAACCAGACAGUGGAGAAUUUGUAAAACCUAGGCGAGUACAAAGUAAGAAAAGGAGAAACCUUUCCGAGGCACCAGGGAAAAUACUGGCCUGGAGUAUCUUUUUAUCGAAAUAUAUAGAUAUUUACAUCAUCGGGAUAACAUUGUAUAUAUGCUUGUGGCUUAAAAAAUAACAUUUUUUGUCUGAUUGCAAGACCACACGUUUAUUGCAUGAAAUUUGGAAAACUGGAAAAAAAUACAAAGAAGAAAAGUAGACUGAGAUUCCCUCACACGAGAUCACCAUUGUUAACAUUUGACUUUCUUUUUACACAAUUAUGCAUUUGUUGAGACAAAAAAUGGAUCAUGCCGUAAAUAUUGCUUUGCAACUUUGUCUUUGUAACCGUGGCUAUAUUCUAAAUGUCACACAUCAUUUAGUGUUCAUUCACAGCAUUGCUUAUGAUCAUACACAGCGGGGCUGUAUUUUAUUUAACCCAUGUGAGAUUAUUGGAUAUUGAUGUUGUUUUCAGUUUCAUCUCUUCCUUACUUCUUUCUUUUACGAUAAACAUUCUUGCAGCUAAAUCUGUGCAUAUCCAAUCCCUAGAUGUGGAAUUGCUGAGUCAAAGCAUAUAAACACGAAUGCUUCUUGUACCUCCCUUUUUAUGUUUUCCAAAUUUAAAAAGUAAUGAAUUAGUAUUUUAACAAUUGGUUUAAACUGUAGUACUGUAUAUACAAAAAAUAUCUCUCAUUUGCAGAAUAUGUAAAGAAGUCCUGGCUGGGCAUGGUGGUUCACCCCUGUAAUUCCAACACUUUAAGAAGCCAAGGCAGGAGGAUUGCUUGAGCUCAGGAGCUCAAGACCAAGGCUGAGGCGGGUGGAUCACCUGAGGUCGGGAGUUUGAGAGGAGCCUGGCCAACAUGGAGAAACCCUGUGUCUACUAAAAAUACAAAAAUUAGCCAGGCAUGGUGGUGGGCGCCUGUAAUCCCAGCUCCUCAGAAGGCUGAGGCAGAAGAAUUGCUUAAACUUGGGAGGCAGAGGUUGUGGUGAGCCGAGAUCGUGCCAUUACACUCCAGCCUGGGCAACAAGAGUGAAACUCUGUCUAAAACAAAGCAAAACAAAACAAAACAAAACAAAAACAAGCUGGAGACCAGCCUGGGCAACAUUGUGAGAACUCAUCUUUACAAAAAAUUUAAAAAUUAACCCUGUUGGUGGGAAUGUUAGCUUUGUUGGUGGGAAUGUUAGCUUUGUUAGUGGGAAUGUAAAAUUGUGCACCUGCUAUGGAAAACAGUAUGAGAGUUCCUCAAAAAUGUAAAUACAGAACUACUACAGGACCCAGCAAUUCCACUCCUAAGAAUAUACCCCCCAAAAUUGAAGACAGAAACACUAACAAAUAUUUGUACACUUCUGGUACAAAAAAGAAGCAGCAUUAUGCAUAAUAGACAAAAGGUGGAAACAGCCCCAGUGUCCAUGGGUAGAUGAACGGAGAAAGAAAAGGUGAUAUAUAUAUAUACGAUGGAGUGUUACUCAGCUUUCAAAAGGAAUGAAGUUGUGACACAUGAUAUGACGUGGAUCAACCUUGAAAACAUGACGCUCAGUGAAGCAAGCCAAACACGAAAGGGCACAUAGUGUACGAUUCCACCUGUACGAGGUCCCGAGAAUAGUCAAAUUCAUAGAGUCAGAAAGUAAAGCAGUGCUUACUGGGCACUGGGGAGAGCCGAGAUUGAGGGGUUAUUAUUUAGUAGGUAUGGAGUUUCAGUUUGGGAUGAUGAAAAAGUUGUGGAGACAGAUCAUGGUGAUGGUUGCCCAGCAAGUGAAUGUACUUAAUGCUACUGAAAUGGUAAAUGGUAAAUUUUGUUAUGUAUAUUUUACUAGAUACACACAAAGACAUUUCUG
rnacentral:lncRNA from 1 species